rnacentral:rRNA from 1 species
GGGCCAGACUCCUACGGGAGGCAGCAGUGAGGAAUAUUGGUCAAUGGGCGGGAGCCUGAACCAGCCAAGCCGCGUGAAGGAAGAAGGCGCCAAGCGUCGUAAACUUCUUUUGUCGGGGAACAAAGGGCGCCACGUGUGGCGUUGUGAGUGUACCCGAAGAAAAAGCAUCGGCUAACUCCGUGCCAGCAGCCGCGGUAAUACGGAGGAUGCGAGCGUUAUCCGGAUUUAUUGGGUUUAAAGGGUGCGUAGGCGGGAUGCCAAGUCAGCGGUAAAAAUGCGGUGCUCAACGCCGUCGAGCCGUUGAAACUGGCGUUCUUGAGUGGGCGAGAAGUAUGCGGAAUGCGUGGUGUAGCGGUGAAAUGCAUAGAUACCACGCAGAACUCCGAUUGCGAAGGCAGCAUACCGGCGCCCUACUGACGCUGAGGCACGAAAGCGUGGGUAUCGAACAGGAUUAGAUACCCUAGUA